UGAGGUAUUAUAUGCACUUAACAUGUUGUUCGUUAGAUAAAGGGAGGGAACGGUACCAUAGGGAAGGGAAGGGAAGUGCAAGAAAUGGCAAGGUAGGGAAGGGUAGGGUAUUGUAGAAUAGGGAAGGGAAUGGAAGGGUAGGGUAAGGUGAAGUAAGGUAGGGUAAGGUAAAUGAGGGUAGGGUAAAAAAGGUAAAGUAAGGUAGGGUAAAGUAAAGUAAGAUAAAGUAAGGUAAGAUAAAGUAAGGGAGAGUAAAGGAUUGUAAAGUAAGGCAGGGUAAAGAAUUGUAAAGUAAGGCAGGGUAAAGAAUUGUAAAGUAAGGGAGAGUAAAGAAUUGUAAAGUAAGGCAGGGUAAAGAAUUGUAAAGUAAGGGAGAGUAAAGGAUUGUAAAGUAAGGGAGAGUAAAGAAUUGUAAAGUAAGGCAGGGUAAAGUAUUGUAAAGUAAGGUAAGAUAAAGUAAGGCAGGGUAAAGGAUUGUAAAGUAAGGCAGGGUAAAGAAUUGUAAAGUAAGGCAGGGUAAAGAAUUGUAAAGUAAGGUAAGAUAAAGUAAGGGAGAGUAAAGGAUUGUAAAGUAAGGCAGGGUAAAGAAUUGUAAAGUAAGGGAGAGUAAAGGAUUGUAAAGUAAGGGAGAGUAAAGAAUUGUAAAGUAAGGUAAGAUAAAGUAAGGGAGAGUAAAGGAUUGUAAAGUAAGGCAGGGUAAAGAAUUGUAAAGUAAGGUAAGAUAAAGUAAGGGAGAGUAAAGGAUUGUAAAGUAAGGCAGGGUAAAGAAUUGUAAAGUAAGGGAGAGUAAAGGAUUGUAAAG
ensembl:lncRNA